GACGAACGCUGGCGGCGUGCCUAAUACAUGCAAGUCGAGCGAACGGACGAGAAGCUUGCUUCUCUGAUGUUAGCGGCGGACGGGUGAGUAACACGUGGAUAACCUACCUAUAAGACUGGGAUAACUUCGGGAAACCGUAGCUAAUACCGGAUAAUAUUUUGAACCGCAUGGUUCAAAAGUGAAAGACGGUCUUGCUGUCACUUAUAGAUGGAUCCGCGCUGCAUUAGCUAGUUGGUAAGGUAACGGCUUACCAAGGCAACGAUGCAUAGCCGACCUGAGAGGGUGAUCGGCCACACUGGAACUGAGACACGGUCCAGACUCCUACGGGAGGCAGCAGUAGGGAAUCUUCCGCAAUGGGCGAAAGCCUGACGGAGCAACGCCGCGUGAGUGAUGAAGGUCUUCGGAUCGUAAAACUCUGUUAUUGGGGAAGAACAUAUGUGUAAGUAACUGUGCACAUCUUGACGGUACCUAAUCAGAAAGCCACGGCUAACUACGUG
rnacentral:rRNA from 1 species